rnacentral:rRNA from 1 species
UUUAUCGGAGAGUUUGAUCCUGGCUCAGGACGAACGCUGGCGGCGUGCCUAAUACAUGCAAGUCGAGCGGACAGAUGGGAGCUUGCUCCCUGAUGUUAGCGGCGGACGGGUGAGUAACACGUGGGUAACCUGCCUGUAAGACUGGGAUAACUCCGGGA